rnacentral:rRNA from 1 species
AACGAACGUUGGCGGCGUGGAUUAGGCAUGCAAGUCGAACGCGAAUCCCUGGGCAACUGGGGAGGAGAGUGGCGAAAGGGGCAGUAAGGCGUGGGUAACCUACCCUCCGGGCCGGGAUAGCUUCGGGAAACUGAAGGUAAUACCGGGCGACGCAGCGAGAUCGCCUGGUCUUGCUGCCAAAGGUCCGCCGCCGGGGGAGGGGCUCACGUGGUAUUAGCUAGACGGCGGGGUAACGGCCCACCGUGGCAAAGAUGCCUAGCAGGUGUGAGAGCACGACCUGCGCCACUGGCACUGAGACACUGGCCAGACACCUACGGGUGGCUGCAGUCGAGGAUCUUCGGCAAUGGGCGCAAGCCUGACCGAGCGACGCCGCGUGUGCGAUGAAGGCCUUCGGGUUGUAAAGCACUGUCGAGGGGGAGGAAGCCGCAAGGUUGACCUAUCCCUGGAGGAAGCACGGGCUAAGUUCGUG